AUCGGAACGUACCCUAGAGUGGGGGAUAACGUAGCGAAAGUUACGCUAAUACCGCAUACGAUCUAAGGAUGAAAGUGGGGGAUCGCAAGACCUCAUGCUCGUGGAGCGGCCGAUAUCUGAUUAGCUAGUUGGUAGGGUAAAAGCCUACCAAGGCAUCGAUCAGUAGCUGGUCUGAGAGGACGACCAGCCACACUGGAACUGAGACACGGUCCAGACUCCUACGGGAGGCAGCAGUGGGGAAUUUUGGACAAUGGGCGAAAGCCUGAUCCAGCAAUGCCGCGUGAGUGAAGAAGGCCUUCGGGUUGUAAAGCUCUUUUGUCAGGGAAGAAACGGUGAGAGCUAAUAUCUCUUGCUAAUGACGGUACCUGAAGAAUAAGCACCGGCUAACUACGUGCCAGCAGCCGCGGUAAUACGUAGGGUGCAAGCGUUAAUCGGAAUUACUGGGCGUAAAGCGUGCGCAGGCGGUUUUGUAAGUCUGAUGUGAAAUCCCCGGGCUCAACCUGGGAAUUGCAUUGGAGACUGCAAGGCUAGAAUCUGGCAGAGGGGGGUAGAAUUCCACGUGUAGCAGUGAAAUGCGUAGAUAUGUGGAGGAACACCGAUGGCGAAGGCAGCCCCCUGGGUCAAGAUUGACGCUCAUGCACGAAAGCGUGGGGAGCAAACAGGAUUAGAUACCCUGGUAGUCCACGCCCUAAACGAUGUCUACUAGUUGUCGGGUCUUAAUUGACUUGGUAACGCAGCUAACGCGUGAAGUAGACCGCCUGGGGAGUACGGUCGCAAGAUUAAAACUCAAAGGAAUUGACGGGGACCCGCACAAGCGGUGGAUGAUGUGGAUUAAUUCGAUGCAACGCGAAAAACCUUACCUACCCUUGACAUGGCUGGAAUCCCGGAGAGAUUUGGGAGUGCUCGAAAGAGAACCAGUACACAGGUGCUGCAUGGCUGUCGUCAGCUCGUGUCGUGAGAUGUUGGGUUAAGUCCCGCAACGAGCGCAACCCUUGUCAUUAGUUGCUACGAAAGGGCACUCUAAUGAGACUGCCGGUGACAAACCGGAGGAAGGUGGGGAUGACGUCAAGUCCUCAUGGCCCUUAUGGGUAGGGCUUCACACGUCAUACAAUGGUACAUACAGAGCGCCGCCAACCCGCGAGGGGGAGCUAAUCGCAGAAAGUGUAUCGUAGUCCGGAUUGUAGUCUGCAACUCGACUGCAUGAAGUUGGAAUCGCUAGUAAUCGCGGAUCAGCAUGUCGCGGUGAAUACGUUCCCGGGUCUUGUACACACCGC
rnacentral:rRNA from 1 species